rfam:Pristionchus pacificus strain PS312 contig7203, whole genome shotgun sequence.
UCUUCAUUUCACGUGCUCUCUCAUUGGUCAGAGAGGCCAGAGAGUGUGUGAAAUGAAGAGA